CUGGCAGUAAACGGUGCACGCUUGGUGUGAGGGGAAUCGACCCCCCUUGUGCCGGAGCAAACGCGUUAAGCGUGCCGCCUGGGAAGUACGGUCGCAAGACUAAAACUCAAAGAAAUUGACGGGGACCCGCACAAGCGGUGGAGUAUGUGGCUUAAUUCGAUGCAACGCGAAGAACCUUACCAAGGCUUGACAUGGAUUUCUAAGCACGUGAAAGCGUGUGACCCUUCGGGGAACUUCCACAGGUGC
rnacentral:rRNA from 2 species